rnacentral:rRNA from 1 species
AUUGAACGCUGGCGGCAGGCCUAACACAUGCAAGUCGAGCGGAUGAAGGGAGCUUGCUCCUGGAUUCAGCGGCGGACGGGUGAGUAAUGCCUAGGAAUCUGCCUGGUAGUGGGGGAUAACGUCCGGAAACGGGCGCUAAUACCGCAUACGUCCUGAGGGAGAAAGUGGGGGAUCUUCGGACCUCACGCUAUCAGAUGAGCCUAGGUCGGAUUAGCUAGUUGGUGGGGUAAAGGCCUACCAAGGCGACGAUCCGUAACUGGUCUGAGAGGAUGAUCAGUCACACUGGAACUGAGACACGGUCCAGACUCCUACGGGAGGCAGCAGUGGGGAAUAUUGGACAAUGGGCGAAAGCCCGAUCCAGCCAUGCCGCGUGUGUGAAGAAGGUCUUCGGAUUGUAAAGCACUUUAAGCUGGGAGGAAGGGCAGUAAGUUAAUACCUUGCUGUUUUGACGUUACCAACAGAAUAAGCACCGGCUAACUUCGUG